CUUAGAAAGGAAACCCACUGCAUGUUUCCAUUAGUAGGAAGGGAUGUUUAUAUGCACCAUCCCACAGACAGGAUAGCACAUACCACGGCCUUUGAUACACCAGUCCUGAUGCACUGGGUGGAAUGACAAAAAGGCGAAUCCGGCUACCGAUGGGUAUUGAUCCUAGACAGACCGUUUUACCACUGAGCUACGUCCCGCCCCUUUAUAUAUAUAUUCUUAGAGGAGUAUGUACCUUUAAGUAUGGUAUUUAGUAUGUAUUUCAUUAAUGUUUAUUUUCAGGCUGUAACAACUACAGGUUGAACAACAUAUCACUAUAAUUAACAUUUUAUCACCUUUUUCUAGUAUUGCCCUGUACCUGUGAUAUGUUCGUGUAUGCUGGUCAACCACGCGUGACCACAUCAGUGCAGUCAGUGUGAGCUCUUUUGGUAGCCAUAGCUACAAUACAAACACCCAAGCUAUCUUUAAACUUUGACCCUUGUCUCUUUCUCUCCCAUUGGAUAAUUAACACUCACCUGUAACUGCAUUUUUUCUUUGGACUGACCAGACAGGACAGAAUUAUUUAGUAUUUGAAGAAACAAGUUCAGAUAAGAGAGAAAUAGUAGAAGUUUAAUUUAAAGGUUUCCCCAGUUGUUAUGGAAUAUAUCAACACAAUGCCUACGUGUAAUUCAUAUGGUAUGUUAAGCUACAGGUUAAGUCUAAUAUUUAUAUAUUUGUAAUUUUAAAUAUACUCUUGUAAUUUAUAUCCUUUCUUUCAUAAACUCAUUAAUGAUAAAGCUUUAUUAUGUCAAAUAAUAAUUAUAAUUACAAUCAUUUAAAUAACCCUAUUUACUAUAAAUUAUCUCCCCUUUGCUAUAAUCAAUGAUUAUAAUUGGUGGUCACGAAAUGAUUAUUAUAUAUAUAUAUACAUGUAUGUUAACAUGAUUAAUAAUCGUGAUGACAGUAUUUAGGAUAAAGUGGAUGAUGAUUCAUAAUCAUCAGAAUGAUAAUUAAUGAUUAAUGACGGUUUUCUAUGAUUUGCAAUGUGUUUCAUUAAUAUAUGCCUGAAUGUUUGUUUUACCUCGAUAGGGAUAUAUUUGUAUUGUUUUUACCAUAUUGUUAACGUUUGUGUUUUUAAUCCUUGCAGGGUGUGUCUUGUGUAUUAUGUUUACAUGAAUAAAAGAUGAUGCCCUAACCCGUA